rnacentral:rRNA from 1 species
UACGGAGGGUGCAAGCGUUAUCCGGAUUCACUGGGUUUAAAGGGUGCGUAGGUGGGCUAGUAAGUCAGUGGUGAAAUCUCCGGGCUUAACCCGGAAACUGCCAUUGAUACUAUUAGUCUUGAAUACCAUGGAGGUGAGCGGAAUAUGUCAUGUAGCGGUGAAAUGCUUAGAUAUGACAUAGAACACCCAUUGCGAAGGCAGCUCGCUACACUAUCAUUGACACUGAGGCACGAAAGCGUGGGGAUCAAACAGG